GACGAACGCUGGCGGCGUGCUUAACACAUGCAAGUCGAACGAAGAGCGAUGGAAGCUUGCUUCUAUCAAUCUUAGUGGCGAACGGGUGAGUAACGCGUAAUCAACCUGCCCUUCAGAGGGGGACAACAGUUGGAAACGACUGCUAAUACCGCAUACGAUCUAACCUCGGCAUCGAGGAUAGAUGAAAGGUGGCCUCUACAUGUAAGCUAUCACUGAAGGAGGGGAUUGCGUCUGAUUAGCUAGUUGGAGGGGUAACGGCCCACCAAGGCGAUGAUCAGUAGCCGGUCUGAGAGGAUGAACGGCCACAUUGGGACUGAGACACGGCCCAGACUCCUACGGGAGGCAGCAGUGGGGAAUCUUCCGCAAUAGACGAAAGUCUGACGGAGCAACGCCGCGUGAGUGAUGACGGCCUUCGGGUUGUAAAGCUCGGUUAAUCGGGACGAAAGGCCUUCUUGCGAAUAGGGAGAAGGAUUGACGGUACCGGAAUAGAAAGCCACGGCUAACUACGUG
rnacentral:rRNA from 1 species